UUACUUCCUCCGUGCAGCCUGAACUUUGAGCUCUGUUGGGCUCAGGCAGAGCGCUGCAUGUAAGCAGCAGGAGCUCUCGCUGCCGUGCAUUCCUGACAUUGCAAGUCAAGCCGCACUCAUGGGAUCUCAGAAUUUCGACCACAUUGUGAUUGGAGCAGGAAUCCAAGGGUCCUUUACAGCCUAUCACCUCGCCAAAAACAAACAGAAAACCCUUCUGCUCGAGCAGUUCAUUCUCCCUCACUCUCGUGGGAGCUCUCAUGGACAAUCACGCAUCAUCAGAGAAGCAUACCAUGAAGACUACUAUACAUGCAUGAUUCCUGAAUGUUAUCGCCUCUGGGCUGAAGUAGAAGCUGAAGCCAAUAUUAACAUAUUCAGAAAAACUGGACUGUUAGUCAUUGGUGCUGAAGAGGACAGGGACUUCCAAGCCAUCAAAAGAGUACUGCAACAGGAAAAUAUGACACGUGAACAGUUUGCUGAACGUUUUUCAUCUGUCCAGUUACCAGUGGGAAAAUCUGUAGUAGAUGAUGAGAAUGCUGGGGUACUGUUUGCUGACAGAGGACUCAAAGCCGUGCAGGCUCUGUUUCAGAGAUUUGGUGGUGUAAUUCAUGAUGGUGAGAAAGUCAUGGAAAUUAUACCUGGUUCAACUAUAACUUUAACAACCAAAAAUGGCAAGUACCAAGCCAGAAGUGUAGUGAUCACUGCAGGACCCUGGGCCCAAAGCCUGCUAACCAGCAUUGGGAUUGAACUGCCUCUACAGACUCUAAGAAUUAAUGUGUGCUACUGGAAGGAAAAAAUCCCUGGCACAUAUGGAAUAGAGAAGAAUUUCCCAUGUUUCAUAGAUCUCAGAGCUCUGGGCAACAAGGAUGAUGUGUAUGGUUUGCCUUCUAAUGAGUACCCUGGGCUGAUGAAGAUUUGCCUUCAUAGUGGAACACCAAGUCAACCAGAUGAAAGAGACAAGAAUCCCUCAGAUGAGGACAUCAAGAUGGUUUCUGACUUUGUCUCCAAAUAUUUUCCUGGUCUAGUGCCUGUUCCAGCAGUGGUGGAGCACUGCAUGUACACGGUUACUCCAGACAAGGAUUUCAUAUUGGACCAUCACUCCACCCACAGUAACAUUGUCAUUGGAGCUGGAUUUUCAGGUCAUGGCUUUAAAUUUGCACCAGUCAUAGGGAAAAUCCUGUCAGAGCUGAGUCUAACAUCCCAGCCUUCCUAUGACAUUUCAUCUUUCAAGAUAUCAAGAUUCCAGUCCUUUGUGAAGUCCACUCCUUGAACCAAUUCACUGUGUUGUCAGGCUUUGUCCUACUAGGGCCAGGAGUAACACAUUGCCCAGCUACAAGUUACAGUCUUUGUUAACAUGAUGAUAUGUAUUUUUUUAGGUUUAAUGACCUUGUCUUUUAAGUAAAGGGACUAAACCUAAUGCUUGUUAUUGUUGUCACUGAACUUUGUCAUCCUACAACAUAUUCACUCCUAGUUAUGAUGCAGCUUGCCUGAGGAAUGAGUGAUCCUGUCGUGAUUCAGCAGCAGAGUGCAGUUAAUGCCACUGAGGUUGUAGGGAGAGGGUGUGGUGGAGAACCUAUCUUGGCAGCAAUAGGUACAAGGAAGGAGCCAACCCUGGACAGAGCAACUCUCCAUUGCAAGGAUUUCUCACCGAGACUCACAUAUGACAAGACUGGAGUCACCAAUUAAGUGAACAAUUUAAUUUUUGGGAACACAAGAGGAAAACCCAUAGCAACAUGGGAAGAACUGUAAUGACCAGGAUUUGUGAUGAAGCAGUGCUUAAUCAUUCUGCCACAAUGUAUCUUAGAUCAUUUUUGACAAAUCCAUCUCCUUUCACCUCCUUGGCAUUAAGCCCGAGUGCAACUCUGGCUUGGAAUUCUGUGUAAUUAUGGUUAAGCCUUAGCCAAACUCUGGGUGAUAUUUAAUGAUUCUCUUUACAGUGUAAAGCCAGAUUAACUCUUAGGACAAUAUUCUGAUGCCAUCUAUUGGAGAAAAUAAAACUAUGCUGCAAAAAAUCAUGAAUAUUUCU